CAGUAGCCACGGGAAUACGGAGGGUGCAAGCGUCAUCCGGAUUCACUGGGUUUAAAGGGUGCGUAGGCGGGCAGGUAAGUCAGUGGUGAAAUCUUCGAGCUUAACUCGGAAACUGCCGUUGAUACUAUCUGUCUUGAAUAACGUUGAGGUGAGCGGAAUAUGUCAUGUAGCGGUGAAAUGCUUAGAUAUGACAUAGAACACCGAUUGCGAAGGCAGCUCACUAAACGCUCAUUGACGCUGAGGCACGAAAGCGUGGGGAUCAAACAGGAUUAGAUACCCGCGUAGUCCCUGUCUCUUAUAC
rnacentral:rRNA from 1 species